CUCACUCCCUCUAUCUCUAGAGCCUCGGUUGCACAUCUCCCUCGCUCCACUGUACCUCUCGCCUGCUCUGUCUCUAGCGAAAUCUCGCCAGCGAGGUGAUCCGCCUCCCACCUCCCUCUCUUCUCCUAGUCGUUGAUGCUAUUCCUACCGACGAACCACCAUUGUCGCUCCGUCUCGAGGAUGGAGACCACUAGCCAACAGUCGCUCCACGCAACUGGUGGAGACACCCAGUUGGCACCACCUCUCUCUGUCCCUCUUCUCUCCUUUUCGUCUCUCCCCUUACUCCCCCUCCUCUUCUCUUUAUGUUUAUCCUCGCCGACCAAAGAACCACACGAAAAACCCCUCUGUAUCUCUUUGAAGAAACCUUUGAUAAGGAGGGUAGACGAACCCAGCAACUCGGUUGGCGAUGAAGAUGAGGCACCGAACAGCUAACUACGGCAAAGUUUAAAAUGGCAACAGACUUUGCCGUGUUGAAGACGGAUCUAGUUUUUGAACAUUGAAGUUCAAGAUGAGGAGAGUUUGUCGAGGAGGGGACUUUCCUGAUUCAUCUAGUCUUAUUUUAGAUUUCUAAAAAUUUUGUGUGUAUUUUAUUCACUUAUUCUUUUGGCUCUGUAAUAAUUUAUCUGUAAAAAACUACUCUAUAAUCAUAAAAUAUUUGGAGACAGUCUAAAGGGAGAGGGGAACUAAUG